rnacentral:rRNA from 1 species
UACGUAGGGUGCAAGCGUUAAUCGGAAUUACUGGGCGUAAAGCGUGCGCAGGCGGUUUGGUAAGACAGAUGUGAAAUCCCCGGGCUUAACCUGGGAAUGGCAUUUGUGACUGCCCGGCUAGAGUGUGUCAGAGGGGGGUAGAAUUCCACGUGUAGCAGUGAAAUGCGUAGAGAUGUGGAGGAACACCGAUGGCGAAGGCAGCCCCCUGGGUCAAGAUUGACGCUCAUGCACGAAAGCGUGGGGAGCAAACAGG